UACGUAGGGCGCAAGCGUUGUCCGGAAUUAUUGGGCGUAAAGGGCUCGUAGGCGGCCAACUAAGUCAGACGUGAAAUCCCUCAGCUUAACUGGGGAACUGCGUCUGAUACUGGAUGGCUUGGAUUCGGGAGAGGAAUGCGGAAUUCCAGGUGUAGCGGUGAAAUGCGUAGAGAUUUGGAGGAACACCAGUGGCGAAGGCGACUUUCUGGUCUGUAACUGACACUGAGGCGCGAAAGCGUGGGGAGCAAACAGG
rnacentral:rRNA from 1 species